GCCAACCGCAACAUUGUGACCUAUGACCCCAUGGAUGAAAUCCAGAUUGCUGAGAUCAACUCCCAGGUGCGGAGGUACCUGGAAGGGACACUGGACGAGAUUGAUAUAAUCAACCUCAGACAGAUCCAGGAGGUAUUCAACCAAUUCCGGGUGGUUCUGAGGUGAGGGACUUCUUUAUAGCCCCCCCAUUCUCAUUUCAGGC
rnacentral:lncRNA from 1 species